rnacentral:rRNA from 2 species
GACGAACCGUGCAAACGUUGUUCGGAAUCACUGGGCUUAAAGGGCGCGUAGGCGGUCGAUCACGUCCGGGGUGAAAUCUUUCGGCUUAACCGGAAAAGGGCCUUGGAUACGGAUCGGCUGGAGGGAGGUAGGGGCAGGUGGAACUUCCAGUGGAGCGGUGAAAUGCGUUGAUAUUGGAAGGAACGCCGGUGGCGAAAGCGACCUGCUGGACCUCUUCUGACGCUGAGGCGCGAAAGCCAGGGGAGCGAACGGG